rnacentral:misc_RNA from 1 species
UACGUGACCGCGCCGGCGCAAGUUUCAAGUCUAGGGGAGAUUUUAUAAUUUCAUCAAUUGUCAGGUCAGUCGUUCAAUUCCUCGAGUCUGGACUAGAUCGAUACAGAGUUAUUUAAAUUUCAAUUAAUUAUCCAAUUUAACUAUCUAUAAUGCCAGCUGAAAAGUACGCAGCAGCAGACCCGGAAUUGAAAGCCGAGCUUAAACAGAUAGCUGAGGCGAUCGUUGCUCCUGGAAAGGGUAUUUUAGCCGCUGAUGAAUCUACGACCACUAUUGGUAAACGUUUGCAGGACAUAAACGUCGAGAAUAAUGAAGACAAUCGUCGGGCUUAUCGUCAAUUGUUGUUCACCACUGAAAAGGACGUUAUCAAGAACCACAUAUCUGGUGUGAUUCUUUUCCACGAGACUCUGUACCAAAAAGCCGAAGAUGGAACUCCAUUCGUGACCCUGAUGAAAGAGCGCAACAUCAUCCCUGGAAUAAAAGUAGACAAGGGUGUGGUCCCACUGUUCGGAACCGACGACGAGUGCACAACCCAGGGUCUCGACGACCUCCAGGCUCGUUGCAUCCAAUACAAGAAAGACGGCUGCCACUUUGCCAAAUGGCGUUGCGUGCUUAAGAUCAAGGGCAACACCUGUCCAAGCCGGCUAGCAAUUUUGGAGAACGCGAACGUGUUGGCCCGCUACGCGUCCAUCUGCCAGAGCGCACGUAUUGUCCCGAUCGUCGAACCAGAAAUUUUGCCUGACGGUGACCACGAUUUGGCCCGUUGUCAGCAAGUAACUGAGGAAGUCCUCGCGGCCGUCUACAAGGCCCUCAACGACCACCAUGUCUACUUGGAGGGUACUCUUCUGAAGCCCAACAUGGUUACUCCUGGACAGAGCUGUCCUAAACGUGCUACUCCCCAGGAAAUCGCCUCAGCUACUGUGAUCGCUCUUCAGCGCACUGUUCCCCCAGCAGUUACUGGAAUCACUUUCUUGAGCGGUGGACAGUCUGAAGAGGAAGCUUCAGUGAAUCUCGACGCUAUCAACAAGUACCCGGGAAAGAAACCAUGGGCUCUGACAUUCAGUUACGGCAGAGCUCUUCAAGCUUCUGUUUUGAGAGCUUGGGGUGGCAAGAAGGAACAAAUUGCCGCUGGACAGGAAGAACUUAUCAAACGUGCCAAGGCGAAUUCAUUAGCUUGCCAAGGAAAAUAUCAAGCUGGUAGCAUAGUCAGUAAAGCUGCUACUGUUGAUUUACAUGUCAAAUCACACACUUACUAAUUGCUAUUGCCUCAACUCCACUAUACUUUUAUGUCCUAUCACUCUGUCCUAUUGUAUACUGUUUUUACCUUUCUAUAUAGUUUUUAUCUGUCUUUCUUAUAUUUUUGUACGACACAAUAUUUUAUCUAUGCAAAUAGUGAAGCUUCUCUUGGAAAAUACGCCGGUGGUGUCAGUGGAGCUGCUGGUGACGCUGCAUUAUUUGUCGCUAAUCACGCAUACUAAUUAAUUUAUCAAUUAAAUCAACAAUUAAAUUUAUCGAUAAUUGUUAAUCUUCAUGAUAUUAUCACAAAUAAAAGUAUAAAGUUAUUGACGUGAAAA